GUUCCAAUUAAUCUUAAUCCCUAUUAGGGAUUGAAAC
rnacentral:other from 1 species